rnacentral:lncRNA from 1 species
GAAAAAUAAAAAGAUGAACUCUUUGAGAUUAGAGGUAAUAAUAUCAAGAAAUAUCUGUUCUCAUUUGAGUGCAUGUGUCUCUGCAAAAUUCAUAUGUUGGAACUUAAAGCCCAGGGUGAUGGUAUUAAGAGGUGGUAGAAAGGCAUUUGGGAAUGGAUUACAUCAUAAAGGCUCUACCCUGAUUAAUGGGAUUAUGGAACAGGCUUCAAAGAGCUACCUGGAACUUCCAUCACUUCUACCAUGUGAAGAUAAACAUGAAUCUCUUUUUUCCCUUAUAUUUCUUCUGCCAUGUGAGAACACAGUAUUUGUCUUUUCCACCUUUCCAUGAUGUGAGGACACCCCAAGAAUGUCCCCUAAAGACAGGAAACAAGACAUGGAAUCUUCUGGCACCAUGAUCUUGGACUUCAUAGCCUCCAAAAUGAAUAGAGAACCUACAGACCCGCAUGUAUUGAAGUUUGAAACCACCUGUGUAAACAGCACACAGAUGAAGGACCACUUUACCCUGUUUCUCACACCAUAGUGAAGGGAACGAGAGCAAAGCCACCUGCAUAUCUUCGGCAGUUAAAGAUCAGAAUCAUAACAACAAUAACAUCUCACAAUUUUCCAAGUGCUCCUUCGGCUCUGUCUUUUUCCUCCCACCUGAGGCCCCCAGGGUGGGUGUAGACAUUCAUCUCUGCUUCAUUUGAUCCACCUCUGCUUGGCCACUGCUGGACUUUUUCUCAGGCAAAGGAGAACCCCCAGGAGAGUGGAUAAACUGGACCAAGGAGCUGCAGAGGUAGUUUGAUUUCACCACAAUCAUUUCAUCUGUCUUAGCAAAACCCCCUUGGGCUUGCCCUGUAGUACACAAACUUGGCUUUGUUCACGCAGCUCAAAUAGAACACUUCUCCUUCAAAAUUUAACUCAGCUCUCGGAAACACUGAAAGGAAAUGUGGCCUAUAAUUAUCCAACGUGAGAUGCAAGGAUUGAAUGCUUUGUCCAAGCUUUGCUGUUCUAAGAGAAGUCAAGGUGAAGGGUUUAGUGCCUCUGAAGCUGGGGCAAGAAAACAAUCGGCUUCUCCAACGGUCAGUAAAGAAUACAAGGGCACAGUUAAAACAGAGCCACUGAAGUGAACAACCUUCAUGUGACCAACAGGAGAAACACCCCCUCCAGGAACCUAAGACCAGUUUGCUACAAGAAUACAAUUGGUAUUCCCCACAGUCACCCUCACAAGGGACACUUACAAAGCACACUCCAAUCUCAGCCAUUACUGACUGACAAGAGCCUGCCUGUCUGAAGCCUGCAGGCCCGAGAAGCUUCUUUCUCCCUUCUCUUGGCUAUUAGUCACAGCUGGUAAGGCUCACAGGAACCGAGACUGUUUGAAAACAGUUGGAUCACGAAAACGUUUGAGUCUUUCUGCUGCAAGCAACAAACUUGGCCCAGGCUGCCACAAGGAGAUGGAGUGGGAGUGGGGGUGGCGAUGGGAUGCACCAGGAACGAAGGAAGAAAGGGAAAUUGCUAACCACCUCACUUCAAAAUCUUCUCUGAGGGAGCCCGUGGCUAUUAUCCUGGUUCAAAUGUCACAGAUAGAAGAUAAUAAAAACAAGAAGAAAUAAAAUUCAAGAUCCAUUAGAACACUUCUGGAUUGUCCAUUACAGCAUGUAUUACCCAACAGAAAGAUGAUCACUAAUAGAUGACAAGCUAUUUAAUUUUAUGUUUACUUUUGGAAGGAUGCAGGUACUGUGCAGGGUUUCUACAACACAUCAGCAUUGCUUACACCAGUACUUCAAAUAUGAGUUAUUUAAUCACCCAAGUUAAAUGAAAAUAACCAAAUGAUUAAAUAAAAUCAAGUCAUACUUCAUGUGAAGACUUUA